rnacentral:rRNA from 1 species
UACGGAGGGUGCAAGCGUUAUCCGGAUUCACUGGGUUUAAAGGGAGCGUAGGUGGGUUGGUAAGUCAGUGGUGAAAUCCCCGAGCUUAACUUGGGAACUGCCAUUGAUACUAUCAGUCUUGAAUACUGUGGAGGUUAGCGGAAUAUGUCAUGUAGCGGUGAAAUGCUUAGAUAUGACAUAGAACACCAAUUGCGAAGGCAGCUGGCUACACAAUUAUUGACACUGAGGCUCGAAAAGCGUGGGGGAUCAAACAGG